CUUCUGCCAUGCAAAAGAUUGAAGCAGAAGGUUCAACGGUGAGCUGAAACAGAUCACUACAGCAUGACACCUUUCCAUACCACAUUCAUUAUUCCGUCAACAGCAAAAGUAUCCCAUAUCAUCAAGGUUGAACGUACUCUAGAUUUGAUGGACUUGUUUUGACCCUCAAAUUCUUGAGUCGGCCUUAUACUCUGAAGGGAACCAGAAAACCCUCCAGCACAGUUCAAGAAUAAGCCUGUAGAAAGUUACUUCUUCAAAAGCAAAAGUAUCUCAUAUCAUCUCUUCUCCAUUUGCUUCUCCUUAUCC
rnacentral:lncRNA from 1 species